GCCGUCGUGGUGUAGUGGUCAGCACGCUCGACCCUUAACCGAGGGGUCCGUGGUUCGAUUCCCGGCGAAGGCG
rnacentral:tRNA from 1 species